UGCGUACCUUUUGUAUAAUGGGUCAGCGACUUAUAUUCUGUAGCAAGGUUAACCGUAUAGGGGAGCCGAAGGGAAACCGAGUCUUAACCGGGCGUUAAGUUGCAGGGUAUAGACCCGAAACCCGGUGAUCUAGCCAUGGGCAGGUUGAAGGUUGGGUAACACUAACUGGAGGACCGAACCGACUAAUGUUGAAAAAUUAGCGGAUGACCUGUGGCUGGGGGUGAAAGGCCAAUCAAACCGGGAGAUAGCUGGUUCUCCCCGAAAGCUAUUUAGGUAGCGCCUCGUGAAUUCAUCUCCGGGGGUAGAGCACUGUUUCGGCUAGGGGGCCAUCCCGGCUUACCAACCCGAUGCAAACUGCGAAUACCGGAGAAUGUUAUCACGGGAGACACACGGCGGGUGCUAACGUCCGUCGUGAAGAGGGAAACAACCCAGACCGCCAGCUAAGGUCCCAAAGUCAUGGUUAAGUGGGAAACGAUGUGGGAAGGCCCAGACAGCCAGGAUGUUGGCUUAGAAGCAGCCAUCAUUUAAAGAAAGCGUAAUAGCUCACUGGUCGAGUCGGCCUGCGCGGAAGAUGUAACGGGGCUAAACCAU
rnacentral:rRNA from 1 species